ensembl:lncRNA
GCAUUGUGGGCCUGCUGAGGUCAUCAGAGAGAGGACCGUAUAUCCUUACCAUGCGGCGUCACUUUUGGAACAACCCGCCGACGCCCAGCCGUCAGGCGCCUUUCUGGUGAAAGCCGCCGUGUUGGAGCAGGACUAAGAGAUCCUCCAGAUCCAGCAGGUGGAAUACGAUGGGAAUCAGAAUCCCUUUCACAUCAGAGCUGAACAGAAGACAUCUUAAGUGUGUCGCAAGGCAUUUAAAAAUCAAAUACGGUUAGCCUUUUGUUUGUAAUCACCGAUUACUGUAAUGAACCCUGAUGUGAUUCAGUGCUGGACCGCUCUCUAUACCGGUUCCGUAUUGAUUAUCAUAACGGGGCUAUCUAUGAGCAGACAGAACCAACAGAAGAACCCAUGGGCUCCCCAGAGGGGAACACACAGAGACUAAAGAAAUAUUACAUCGUGACACUGCCCAAAAAGAAUGCAUGAAUGAAUUUAAAAAAGAUAAACGUGUGUGUUGGUGUGUGUGUGUGUAUGCGUGUGAAGAGUGGACGGGCCUUACCUUCUUCUGGUACCAAACAACA